UUUGGGGCCAUUAACACCACUGUAUUCUACUUUCCCAAUUCAUUUUGCGAUAGCCCUAACCUCGAUCUCCUUCAGCCGCUCUCUCUCCUUCCAUCACUGCUCUCUUUCCCUCCAUCACCGGUCAUCACAGCUCUCUCUCCUUCCAUCAGUUUGCGUUCCAAAACCAGAAUUUUAAUCAGAAACCAACGCUCUAAAACUGGUGGCUUGGUUUAGAGAGACAAAGUCAUUGCUACUGCACACACAGAGAGAGAAAGAGUCGUCGUUGGGGGUUUCCAAAACCUCGUCUACACUAACAGACCGGACCAUAAUUUUUUUUAGAAAAGAGAAACAGUUGGAGAUUUGGCAUUGCUGUUGUGGAAUUCAUUUAAUACCAUUUAUAUACUCUUAAAGUUUUGUGAGACACGUGCACACAUCUUCCAACUCUUGCAUUCACUUAGCACUCAGAACCACCGAAGCAAAGCCUUAAGCAAUUUUUUGGCAUUAUUAAUCAGUUCAGCUUUAUUAGGGCCUAGUAAAGCUGAAUUGAUUAAUAAUGCCAAAAAAUCUGAUGAGGAGGCACGUGCUGUACGUGUAGAGUUGCAGGACACCAUUUCAAAAAUGCAAGCUGACAUUGACGACUAGUUGGAAAAUUUACGAGCCAACCAAAUUGGAAAAUUUACAAAAACAGGUGGCUAUGCUAAUGCAGAUUCAACAACAAAAUUGUAGUGGACAGGUAUAUUUAUUAUUAGUUUUACUCUUUACUGAAUAUAUGUUUACUUAUAUCAAGAUUUUAUGUAUAAUUUUGUUUUGUUAUUUUGAAGGGUUCUGAUUCUUUAAAUGCUCCUAGAGUAUCCCCAAAUUAAUUUUCUAGUCAUGCCAAUUUAGUUAAGGUUAUGAACUUUAAUUUCUCUUAUAUGUUAAAUUAUCAUUUAUUAUAAUGUGCGCUUAAUGAAUCUAUAAAAAAUGUAGGGUAAUACAAAUCAAAUGGGCAAGAAGAGUUGUUGAAGUUGAAGCUGAAGAUGGGGUCGUGGCUGUGCUUUCUGAAUUUCCUUCGCCUUGGAUGGUUUCUUUUUGAAAAACUUCUGCUACAUUUGUCAAAAAUUCUUAAUUCUUUUUGUGCGACAUUUAGUAGCUUUAUCUAGACAAUUUGGAUGGUAUUUUCAUAGUGGCAGGUUAGGUUGUGGUUGUAGUAGUAGACAUUUUGGCUUUUUGGAUGACAUGUUUUGGGUUUUGGUUGACAUUUACCAGCUUUAUCUAUUAGUAGACAAUUUGGAUGGUUUUUUUCAUAUUGGCAGCAGGUAAACUUGUGGUUGUAUUAUGUAAAACAAUUUGGAUGAUAUUUUUCAUAUUGGCAGCAGGUUUAACUUGUGGUUGUAUUAUGUAAAAACAAUUUGGAUGGUAUUUUUAUAUUGCAAACUAGUGUUAUAUUGGAUGA